GAUGAAGAACGUAGCGAAAUGCGAUAAGUAAUGUGAAUUGCAGAAUUCAGUGAAUCAUCGAAUCUUUGAACGCACAUUGCGCCCACUGGUAUUCCGGGGGGCAUGCCUGUUCGAGCGUCAUUUCACCACUCAAGCCUCGCUUGGUAUUGGGCAUCGCGGUCCGCCGCGCGCCUCAAAUCGACCGGCUGGGUCUUCUGUCCCCUAAGCGUUGUGGAAACUAUUCGCUAAAGGGUGUUCGGGAGGCUACGCCGUAAAACAACCCCAUUUCUAAGGUUGACCUCGGAUCAGGUAGGGAUACCCGCUGAACUUAAGCAUAUCAAUAAGCGGAGGA
rnacentral:misc_RNA from 1 species